GACGAACGCUGGCGGCGUGCUUAACACAUGCAAGUCGAACGGAAAGGCCCUGCUUUUGUGGGGUGCUCGAGUGGCGAAAGGGUGAGUAACACGUGAGUAACCUGCCCUUGACUUUGGGAUAACUUCAGGAAACUGGGGCUAAUACCGAAUAGGAGCUCCUGCUGCAUGGUGGGGGUUGGAAAGUUUCGGCGGUUGGGGAUGGACUCGCGGCUUAUCAGCUUGUUGGUGGGGUAGUGGCUUACCAAGGCUUUGACGGGUAGCCGGCCUGAGAGGGUGACCGGCCACAUUGGGACUGAGAUACGGCCCAGACUCCUACGGGAGGCAGCAGUGGGGAAUAUUGCACAAUGGGCGGAAGCCUGAUGCAGCAACGCCGCGUGCGGGAUGACGGCCUUCGGGUUGUAAACCGCUUUCGCCUGUGACGAAGCGUGAGUGACGGUAAUGGGUAAAGAAGCACCGGCUAACUACGUG
rnacentral:rRNA from 1 species